UACAGAGGUCGCGAGCGUUGUUCGGAUUCAUUGGGCGUAAAGGGUGCGUAGGCGGCGGGGUAAGUCUGAUGUGAAAUCCCGGGGCUCAACCCCGGAACUGCAUUGGAUACUGCCUUGCUAGAGUACUGGAGAGGGAACUGGAAUUUACGGUGUAGCAGUGAAAUGCGUAGAGAUCGUAAGGAAGGCCAGUGGCGAAGGCGAGUUCCUGGACAGUUACUGACGCUGAGGCACGAAGGCCAGGGGAGCAAACGGG
rnacentral:rRNA from 1 species